rnacentral:rRNA from 1 species
GGACCCGCACAAGCGGUGGAUGAUGUGGAUUAAUUCGAUGCAACGCGAAAAACCUUACCUACCCUUGACAUGCCAGGAACUUUCCAGAGAUGGAUUGGUGCCCGAAAGGGAGCCUGGACACAGGUGCUGCAUGGCUGUCGUCAGCUCGUGUCGUGAGAUGUUGGGUUAAGUCCCGCAACGAGCGCAACCCUUGUCAUUAAUUGCCAUCAUUUAGUUGGGCACUUUAAUGAGACUGCCGGUGACAAACCGGAGGAAGGUGGGGAUGACGUCAAGUCCUCAUGGCCCUUAUGGGUAGGGCUUCACACGUCAUACAAUGGUCGGUACAGAGGGUUGCCAAGCCGCGAGGUGGAGCUAAUCUCAGAAAGCCGAUCGUAGUCCGGAUUGCAGUCUGCAACUCGACUGCAUGAAGUCGGAAUCGCUAGUAAUCGCGGAUCAGCAUGUCGCGGUGAAUACGUUCCCGGGUCUU